UUCCAUCGCGACCCCAGGUCA
rnacentral:rRNA from 1 species